AGGAGAAUAGCUUAAUUAGGUAAAGCUUUGGUUUUCAAAACCAAUGAUUGAUGGUUCGAUUCCUUCUUCUCUUG
rnacentral:tRNA from 1 species